UUAAAAAUAAGCUAAAUCUAAGCUUUUGGGCUCAUACCUCAAAUAUAAAGAAUAUAUUCUUUUUUUUAAA
rnacentral:tRNA from 1 species